AAAGCCGGGAGGCAUCUUGACAGCCACCAGGGAGAUUGGAGGUUGGGAGGUGAGUGGGAGAUGGCCUCCUAGCAGCUCCUUACAAGCCUUCCGUCCUCUUGUGUUCUGGGUGCACCCAGGACUCAGGUUAGCUGUGGUUUAGGCCUUGCCUGCGUGGCCUGUUUGGAUGCUUGCAAGGCCACCAGGGCACCACGGUGGAGCUGUGUCCCCGUGGUCCUCUUGCUUUGUGCUGUGACUUGAUGCCUCCACGCAAGCAUGGUCCUCUCACCUCUGGAUGGUGCUCACCUGGCUGUCUGCUCCCCACUGCCCUGUCCCACCUGUCUCCCCUGUCUUCAGAAUCUGUUCCAUAAUCAGAUACUGUAUGAUUCAGGGUGCUCUUGGGACCCUUUCUUCUGUCUGCCCUACUCUUUAUAGCCAACCUAAGCUCACCAGAUGACAGUUGUUUGAGAAUCCUAGGCCGUGCUGUGGGGGGAUAUAUCCAGAGCCGCUGGACCCUGCCAGUGUUGCCUCACUGCUUGUGCCAGCCGUGUUUUGAAAUCUUCAUUUUUGAUGAACUGUGUUGUCACUUAAUCUUAAACAUGGUGUGGGUAAAGUUGAUGAGGAAGGUGGAUUGCCAUAUUGAACUUACCUUUAUGAGGCCAAAAUGGAAGAUGAGAAUUCUUAAAUUUUAUUUUUUAAAGGUAAUAUUUGUUGUUUUCUCUCCUCAAAUACGGAAGCAAUAUAUUCAUUGCAGGAAAUUUAGAAAAGUACAUAGAAAAAAAUCAUGUAUAGCCCCACCAUCCAGAGCAAUGCUUGUUUAAAAUAUUUUAUACUUUGUAUUUUAUAUUAAUGUGAAUAUUGAUAUAUAAGAGCAUCUCAAUGGUAUGUUGAGAUAUUGUAUACAAUGUAUAUAUUAAAAAACAAAGAAUGCAUGUCUUCGGGUCAGAAGGUAAGCUUACAUGAUGGGAAUUUACCAAAAUAUAGAUAUUUGUUUAUCCAUUGAUUCAUUUUCUCUCAGAUAUGUGUAUUUUUAUAUAUACAUGUAGAUAAAUUUCUUUCAUAAUGGGGAUUGUGCUGUAAAUAUGGUUUUAUGUUUUUCAUUUUCUCUUAUAAAAUUAAUACUUCUAAAUAAUUUUCUAAAACAUGAUUGUUAAUUACUGGAGGUAAUACUUAGAGUGUAUUAUAAUUUAUUUAACCAAUCUAACAAUAGUAGUUAUCAUAGCAUUUAUUGAGUCCUUAGAGUUAGAUUUUGGUCCUUCAGCUGUUUUUUUUUUUUUAAACUCUUACCAAUAGUAAUAUAAUAUUUUCCUUGCCUGUCUUUGGGUGUUUCCUCAGGAUGCAUUUUUAAAGUCAUUUUUUUGAAGCAAGGGAAUGAAACUUGUGAUACGUAUUGAGUAAGCAGGAGAUAAAAUACUGCAUAUGUUAUUUUUCAGUUUUAUGUGGGUAAUUUGUAAUGUAGGUUUGAGGAUUGGCAUUCUACUCACUGGAGUCUUUGUUAAUUCACUGAAAAUAUUUCCUGAGCAUUUGCUGAGGACCAUACAUUAUAUUAAGUACUUGGGUAUCACAAAGACAUACAAGACAUUGCCUCUGACUUCUAGGUCACCAAAUUCUGAACGUGACGGUGACCUGUAUACAUUAUUAUUUAAGGUAGCAUGUUAUAGGUACUAUGCUAAUUGUACAAAAACAACAACCGAAAACCUUGUUGCUGUCAAGUCGGUUCCGACUCACAGUGACUCAGUAGGACGGAGUAGAACUGCCCCAUAGAGUUUCUAAGGAGUGGCUGGUGGAUUCGAUCCGCCAACCUUUUGGUUAGCAGCUAUAGCUCUUAAACACUGUACUACCAGGGCUCCAGUUGUACAAAACCAACAAUAGAACGUGCUGUAAAAUGUCAUAGAUGGAAGAGAUGACUUUUGGCUGGGGUGAUCUAGGACAGUGUCUGGGAAGAGAUGGGUUAAGAGCUUGGCUUUUGGGUAGGUGGUUCUUAAAAAUAGAAGAACAGUUCAGGCAGCAGGGGAUGGCUGUAGGAAAAGCCUGUUGUUGGCUACCAUUGAAUCAACCCCCAACUCAUGGCGACCCCAUGCACAAUGGACUGUUGUGAUCCAUAGAGUUUUCAUUGGCUGAUUUUUGGAAAUAGAUUGCCAGGCCUUUCUUCCUAGUCUGCCUUAGUCUGGAAGCUCCAUUCAAAUAUGUUCAGUAUUAUUACAACAUGUAGCUGUGCAUGAGGCGCAUUGGCUGGGAAUUGAACCUGGGUCUCCUGAAUAGACGGUGAGAAUUCUGUCACUGAAUGACCAAUGCUUAGAGGUGAGAGAGUACGAGAUGUAUUUGAAUCAUAGUGAAGGGAGCCAGUGUACUCAGAGCAGAAUAAUCCAUACAAGUUUUGGGCCUACUGCAACCUAAUGGGUUCCUGUAAUGUAGGGCCCUGAAUAUCAGGCCAGGGAGUGCCAGGUUUUGGGGUAGUAGGAUUGCUUAUAUGGGGAUGAGACGGGAAUGGGAAAAACGCUGGAGCCGAUGAGAUCAGGUUCAUUGGUUCAGUGAGAAAGUCAGAGUGUGGGAUGGUUGGAUUGGAAAGGGAGUUACAGGAGCUACUCCACCGCUGUAUCCUCCUUCAGACAUCACAGGUAGGGUAAGACUGCAGUCAAAGCAAAGGCUUUUAACAAAAGCUGCAUCCCCUGCCCCGACAUUGAAUCAUUAUUGAAAGAAUGAGCAAAGAAGCAGUGUAAUUUUGUGCCUCAAGUUUGCAGAGAGAGGGAGGGUUCAGAGUUGAGCCUGAAUUUUUGGAGGAUGGGUGACUUGGACGAUUGACGUUUUGUUGUUUUUGUUAGGUGCCAUUGAGUCGGUUCCGACUCAUAGUGACCUUAUGCACGAUAGAAUGGAACACUGCUCGGUCCUGCGCCAUCCUCACAGUGGUUGCUAUGCUUGUGCCCAUUGUUGCAGCCACUAUGUCAUUCCAUCUCCUUGAGGGUCUUCCUCUUUUUUGCUGACUCUCUACUUUACCAAGCAUGAUGUCCUUCUCCAGGGACUGAUCCCUCUUGAUUACAUGUCCAAAGUAUGUGAGAUGUAGUCUUUCCAUCCUUCUAAGGAGCAUUCUGGUUUUACUUCUUCCAGCACAGAUUUGUUUGUUCUUUUGGCAGUCCGUGGAAUAUUCAAUACACCAACACCAUAAUUUAAAAGCAUCAAUUCUUCUUCAGCUUUUCUUAUUCAUUGUCCAGCUUUCGCAAACAUAUGAAAACUAAACUUGUUGCCUUCAAGUCCAUUCUGACUCAUAGCAACCCUAUAGGUCUGAGUAGAUCUGCUUCAUAAGGUUUCCAAAGAGUGGCUGGUGGAUCCAAACUGCCAACUUUUUGGUUAGCAUCCAAGCUCUUAACCACCGCACCACCAGGGCAUAAUGCAGGUUGUUAAUGAGUCUUCCUCCAGUCCUUUCUGACCACUAGAUAUAUGUUUUAAGCUAGUUAAAAAUUAUGUAUUUAGCUGAUUUAAAAAUGUCUGGGAGGGAACAGAUAUACCAUUACGAUGCACUUAGAGUGUGUGUUCAUAAUGAACGAAACGAACCCCUUGCUGUCGAGUCAAUUCUGACUCAUAGUGACCCUAUAGGACAGAGUGGAACUGUCCCACAGAGUUUCCAAGGAACACCUGGUGAAUUUGAACAGCUGAUCUCUUGGUGAGCAGCCCCAUAGCUCUUAACCACCACGCCACCAGGGUUUCCAUGUGUUCAUGGCAGUGUAAAAUACAGAGAGAUGACGUAUUUCUAAAGGGUUUGAGAUUCUUACAUGAAAGUCAGCUUUAACAGGUUCAUUACCUACUUUAGUAUGUGUUUGAAGCAUUCCACUUCUGUGAAUUGUAUGUUUUUGUACUUCAUUUUUUCCAGCUAUUGUUUUAGUGCUUUUUUUUUAAAAUGAGUUUUUUAAAUAGAUAACUCUUUUAAUUGUAACUUACAAAACCAUCUUCUUUUGCAGAUCAAGUUCUUCAUCAAAUCACAGGCUGUGUAAGGCUGACUUUGGGAAUGGUUGGAAGUGGGGAAUCGGGUCCUCCUCAGAAUGUGGGAAUUUCUGUCCUGCUUUGUCCUAGUGCUUGGUUUAAGUCCAAGAUCACUACGUAGAUGGAAACUCAUCAGUUAAAAUAUUUUUUAACGACAAGUGGACUAAAGCAAAUGCGGUUUGUAUCCUGCUGAACUUUGGACGUUAGAGCUUCGGAAGGUGAAAAAUUCCAAAUGCAGUGAGGGACUUCUAUCACUGAGAAGGUCAGGAGAUUCCUAAUCUUAUCAGUCUCAGUGUAAAGAGGAAGAUAAAACCAGCAGAGGAGGACCAAGGCCCAGACUGUACUGGGCUCCAUACUCUGUUCAACAGUCACUCCUGUGUCAGACUUACCUGGUAAUGUUUACUGAGCUGGGGAGGCUUGUGGAGUGAGCGCACAUAAGAUGGGUUGUCUUCCCUGGAGGACAUUUGAAAUUGAGAGAAAGCAAGAGUAACCAGAUUUGAUACUCAGCUGGAAAAGAAAAUAAUGAGGAGACAUUUCUGUGCUACACACUACCAAUUGAAAAAAUGUUGAACUUCAGAAGUAAAACACUCAGAGGAAUAAAUAAGCAGAGCCCAGAUUCUCCUUAAUUCGUGUGCUGUUAUUGUCAAGAUUACCUGGUAAUGGAUUACCUAUUGCAAAUUGAAGUGUUUUAAGUUAGCUUCCUCGUGCUUUGGGGUUGUCACUUCUAUUUUAUCCCUCUUAAUCUCUGUGUGCAGGAACCCUGGUGGCGCCGUGGUUAAGUGCUUGACUGCUAACCCAUAGGCUGGUAGGUCAAACCCCGCAGCCGCGCUGGGGGAGAAGGAUGUGGCAGUCUGCUUUUGCCUUGGUCAUCUAGUGCUGCUGUAACAGAAGUGCCACAAGUGGAUGGCUUUAACAAAGAGAAGUUUAUUCUCUUAGGGUCUAAGAGGCUAGAAGUCCUAAUUCAGGUCGGCAGCUCCAGGAGAAGGCCCUCUCUCUGUUAACUCUGAAGGGAGGGCCCUGCCAUCAGUUUUCCCCUAAUUGAGGAACUUCUCAGCCCGAGGACACCCUAUCUCCCAGUGCUUCUUUGUUGGUGGUGUGAGGUCCCCUUGUCUCUCUGCUGGUUUUUCUCUUUUAUAUCUCAAAAGAGAUAGAUAUAAUACGCAACCUAAUCUUGUAGAUUGAAGGUUGCCUCAUUAACAUAACUAUCUCUAAAACUGCCUCUUUGCCAUCACAGAGACAGGAUUUACAACACAUAGGAAAAUCACCUCAGAUGACAAAAUGGUGGACAGUCACGCAAUACUGGGAAUCAUGGCCUAGCCAAGUUGACAGAUAAUUUUUUAGGGACACAGUUCAAUCCAUGACAGCUUCUGUAAAGAUUUACAGCCUUGAAAACCCUACGGGGCAGUCCUACUGUGUCCUCCUGUAGGGUCGCCAGAGUCAGAAUCAACUCCACAGCAACGAGUUUGGUAUUUUUUGGUUAAUCUUUGUUUGGAGGGAGCGCUGGUGGUACGUUAGUUAAGCACUCGGCUGCUAACCAAAAAGUCUGUGGUUCAAACCUGCCAGCCGCUCAGCUGGAGAAAGAUGUGGCAGUCUGCUUCCAUAAAGAUUACAGCCUUGGAAAUCCUGUGGGGCAGUUCUACUCUGUCCUUUCAAGAGUUGCUCUGAGUCGAAAUCAACUUGACAGCAAUGGGUUUCUUUUGUUGUUUUUUCAGUCUUUGUAUGGAGUCUCUGGGUGGUGGAAAUGGCUAAGCACUUGACUAUUAGCCAAAAGGUUGAUGGUUCGAAUUCACCCAAAGGUGCCUCAGAAGACAGGCUUGGCAGUCUGUUUCCAAAAGGUUCACAGCCUUGAAAACCGUAGAGAGCUCAAUUCUACUCUGACACACAUGAGGACACACGUGAGGUCACACAUGGGGUCGCCAUGAGUCUGAAUUGGCUUUAGGCAACUAACAACAGCAGCAGUCUUUGUAGGCUUAGAAGUUUUCCGUUAAGUAUAAUAUUGGAUAAAAAGAAAAUGAUUAAAAAAAAAUUUAAAAAUUAAAAAAAAAAAAAAGAUAAAAAAGAGAAUGAUUAGAAAUCCAAAUAAAAUCUGCACUUUAGUUUUAAUAUUGUACUAGUGUUAAUUUCUUAGUUUUGAAGUUUGUCCUGUGGCUAUAUAAUGUGUUAACAUUAGGUAAGCUGGGUGAAGAGUGUAUGGGAACUGUCCUGCAAACCAAAAAUUAUUUCAAAUAAAGAGUUAAAAACCGUUAAUUUAUUAGCUACAGAGUUGUUAUUGUAUUCCCAAACCAGAUAGAAGUGGUUUGUCUGUGUGGGGAAUGGGCAGAGAUUCUUUUCUCUUAGGAUGGUUGAAUUCCUUUUCUUUUUCAUUAACCUAAAGAAUUGAGAGUUGACAGAGUCUCUCACUAGGACGAAGAUGCUAUGUUAAGGUGUGCUUAGCAAAGGCAGACUUGUGGUGUCUGAAGUGAAGCCACUGGCUUUCUAAAAGUAUUACAGAAUUCUACUUCAGCUUGUUAUACAUUUGUUUUUGUAAUGAGAUGGUGGCGAUCAUGUGCCUUUUGAAAAUAAAUUAGAUUAAAAAAAACUACCCAUGUACAUAUUUUUUUUGUAAGAUCUGAGACUUCAUGUAUAAGUUGAGUGAUCAAACUCAACUGAUUUGGAUCUAAAUUUAAGAAAUGAGGUUUUUUUUCUCUUGAAAUGAAGUGACUGUGAAUUAGUUUCCAAAGAAUGGUGGAAAACUUUCUUUGUGCAGUGGCGACAUCAUUGGACUAAGUAUGACAUCUGUGGAUUUCACCUUCAAAGGAUAUCACUUAGAUGCAUACUUCUAUAUUUAUUGUAAAUUAUUAGUGAUAUCUGUACUAACAGAGAAAUAAAAGUCCAAGGAUUUUCAGCAGUUGCUCUGUCCUAGGCCAUGCUGUAGCUUAGUGUAGACACUAGCCUGAAAACUUGCCCUGCACUUCCAUUGCUUGUUAAAGCCAAUUUUAUUAUCUUUAAGCUUACCCGUUUCCUUUUGCUUUUGGCAGUGCUGUCCAAUGGAGCUUUCUAUGAUGAUAGAAGUGUUCUGUAUCUGCACUGUGCCUUAUGGUAGCCACCAGCUACCUGUGGCUGUUGAACACUUGAAAUAUAGUUAGUGUGACUGAGAAAUUGAAUUCUAAAUUUUAUUUUAAAGAAUUUAAAUGUAAGUAGCCACAUUUGGCUAGCGGCUAGCAUAUUGGACAACCCAGAUCUAGGGCUACCGUUGCUAGUUCCUUGAAUGGUAUACUUUGACUGUAAAGGAAGGGAAUGAACGCAGACAUUUAAAGAUAACUGAUUUAUGUAUUGUUCUAAUGUAAAUCUCCGUUAAAAGAGUUUUGAUUGGAGAAAGGAACUGACUUGAUAUGGGAACAGUGUUAUUAACUCCUUAUGUUGGUGUACCUUACUGGUAGCUUUUGAGUAUCAUAUUAAACCCUAAUUUUUUUUUCUAUAAGUUUUGUGAUGUCAGUAAAUAUACUUCUGUGAUGGUUAAGGUUGUAUGUCAACUUGGCUAGGCUAUGUUUUCCCAGUGGUUUGGCAGUUAUGUAAUGAUGUAAUCUGGCAGUUAUGUAAUGUAGUCAUCCGUUUUGUGAUAUGAUGUAGUUGUCCCCCAUUUUGUGAUCUGAUGUGAGUAACCAGUCAUUUGAAAAAGAAGUUUCCUUGGGGGGUGUGGCCUGCAUCCAGUAUAUAUACAGAUGUUCUGGCAAAGCUCACUUGCUCUGGGUCCUGCACCCAGCUCAUCACCUGACCUCCGGUUCCUGGGACUUGAGCCAGCAACCUGCUGUAUUGCCUGCUGAUCUUGGGAUUCAUCAGCCUGCGAAGCCUGUGAGCCAGCAGCCUGCCAUCUUACCAGCCAGUCUUGGAUUCAUCAGCCUCUGCAACCCGUGAGCCAGUGGCCUGCCGCCUGACCUGCCAGUCUUGGAUUCAUCAGCCUCUGCAACCCGUGAGCCAGUGGCCUGCCGCCUGACCUGCCAGUCUUGGUUCAUCAGCCCCUGCAACCCGUGAGCCAGUGGCCUGCCGCCUGACCUGCCAGUCUUGGUUCAUCAGCCCCUGCAACCCGUGAGCCAGUGGCCUGCCGCCUGACCUGCCAGUCUUGGUUCAUCAGCCUCUGCAACCCGUGAGCCAGUGGCCUGCCGCCUGACCUGCCAGUCUUGGUUCAUCAGCCUCUGCAACCCGUGAGCCAGUGGCCUGCCGCCUGACCUGCCAGUCUUGGUUCAUCAGCCCCUGCAGCUACAUGAGUCAGGAGAAGUCUCCAGCCUCUACAACUGCAUGAGCCAUUUCCUUGAGAUAAAUCUCUGUUUGUAUGUAUAUUGACGGCACUGGGUGUUUACAUACCCGCUUCACUGGUUUUGCUUCUCUAGCAAAUCCAGCCUAAAACACUUCUGUCCCAUCAUUUCUAAUGACUAGGCAGUAUUCUGUUUUAUGGAUGUGCCAUCAUUUACUUACCCAUUCUUUUAUUUUUGCUUUUUCAGAUUUUUGUUGUAUAUGAUUCAGAGAUGACUAACCAUGUACAUAUAUUUCGGGGAGUACAUUUUUGCUUAAUUCCUUAGGAAAUCCUGGAAUUAUAAUUGCCAAAUCAAAGGGUAAACACCCAUUGCCAUCAAGUCACUUCUGACUCAUAGUGACCCAUAGGACAGAAUAGAAUUGGCCCAUAAGGUUUCCAAGGAGCGGCUGGUGGAUUUGAACUGCCAGCCUUUUGGUUAGCAGCUGAGCUUUUAACCACGGUGGCACCAGGGCUGCAGUCAAAGGGUAGGUGUACUUUUUUUUUUUUUUAAUUGAUACUCCCAAAGUGUUCCCUGCUGUCCCCCAAAGGUUGUACCAGUUUACCCUCAAACUGACAUUUGUGAAGGUUGUUGCUUAGGGUAAGAAACACUUUAUGGGCUAUGUAUUGACACACAGAAGGCUUCAAGGUGACAUCCACUGACUCAUGAAUCUUCUGUUUGUCUAUUCUGAUUGUUCGGGGCAAAAAUAAAGUGGCCCUGGAUAUGUGGUGUAUUUCAUACUUGGCUUUCUGUGGGUGUUUUCAGCAAAGGGCUUGUGUUUACUUGCGGGAGGGUCGUCUUGAAGUAGAGGACCCUCCAUGGGGCAGGGUGGAGGCCCAUUUGGCAGGUCUGUUUGGGAGCUCUUGCCAACACUCUGCCUGGGGUUCUGCACCAUGCUGCCUGUUGUGUCGUUUAAUAGAGAAACUCGGUUCCAGGGACUGUAAGCACAGAGCCAUUCAGUUCCCUCUGCAGGGGUCGAACAACAGGGGCUGUUGUGUUCUUGCCCAGGGCAGCAGCGCCACCGCCCUGUCUGAUACGGACGCCCCAUCUGAGCACAAUGGGGUGUUGUGAGUAGGCUGGGCUGAUCUUCGGCUGAUUUUGCCAACUGUCUGGUGUCAGUGCUUCAGUUUGGCAUUGAAAUUAGAUGCUUAUUUUAAAUUUGGGGUAAAAGGAGACCUUUGGCUUUUUUCACACUUUUGUUAGGAUGCUGUCUUUGUUUUGAAAAAGGUCUCAAGUUCAGAGACUUUUAGAAAGAGAGUGGUCUGCAUUUUGUUGUUGUUGUUAAGUAAUAAUUUAAAAAUUGUGACAACAGACCUGUACUAAAAAGUUAACCUGGGGCAGUGUAUGAUCACUAGGAAGGACGUGAAAUCCCCAAGUUGUAUAGUAUAUGGUGAAAAGGCUUUUUCUUUCAUCAGGUACUGAGCAUGUGCGGAACGUGCGGCUGUGUGUGGAUGGGGAUAACAGUACUUGCUUAGCAGGGAGCAGAGAGUUUCUGUGAGGGAAAUAAGAUACACAAGGAAAAGUCACAAAACAAGAAGUCGUUAUUAAUUAUAUGAGGAGGUGAAAGAGGCAAAGGGAUUAAUGUUGAGUACCUGUUCAGUGCCUGGUAUUUAAUGUGCCAUAAGGCAGUAUUAGCCAUAGGUAGUAUUGCGUGGGUGGUACAGGCCUCGUGUCCAAAGAGGUGUCCAAAGAGGGAGAGGAGACCGUGGUCAGAAUGGCGGGAGGCCUUCACGGAGCAGGGGUGGAGCCUGAGCUGAACCUUGCAGCAUGGAUUUUCAUGAAGAGGAGUGGAGCAGCGAUCUAGGCGCGGAGAGUGGUGCAAGGCUUGUGUGAGGAUGUGGCUGUCUGUCCAUUCUGUGAGGGCAGGAGCUAGAUGCAUCUUGCUCACCCCUGUGUUCAGCGUCUGGCAUGGUGCUGGCCCUCAUAGAUACUCAGCAAAGAGUAAUGGAAUAAAUGACAUACAGUAGGCACUCACUAUUUGUUGCAUAAACUGAACUUGAAGUGAAUGUUUCUGAGAGAAAUUAAUUCUGGCUGAUAGCAAGAUUCACAUAGAUGUGAGAAGUCUGGAGAGGGCGGUUGAGGCCACGUGGAAGGUCAGGGAAUUUGAGCUCUGCUCUCUAGGCACCGAGGGAACUUUCUCAGCAGGGUAGUGGUGUGGUUAAGUUUGAGCUUUGAGGUGACUCACUGAGUACUAGUGAGUAGGAUAUACUGGAAGGGUGAUUAAAAGCGGAGAAAUCAGAAUUCCUGUCUGGAAACAGGGAUGCUUCCUGAUCUCAUUGGCUGUUGGCUGUUCAUAUCCUUAAAUUUAUCAUUGAAAGGCAGGAGUAUCCGGAGGUCAAGAGCUGAGCCUUGAUGGUCUGGUUGCCAGGUAGGAUUCCUACUCCUCCAGCUUGAGAGCCUGGGCCUGUUACCUAACAUCCUUAAGACUCAAUUUCCUCAUUGAUAAAAUGGGGAUAGUAAAAUAUCUACCUCGUAGAAUUGUUUGGCAAUAAGACGAAAUAGUAAUGUAAGGUGCUUGAAACAAUAUAAGCAAUCAAAAAAUAUUAGUUAUUAUUAAUAAUGUAACAGGUAAAGGUUAUUUCUUGUGAGAUUAAUAUGGGCCCUAAUCUCAUGGAUUUUAUAGAAUAAAGCAAAAACUUUAAAACAGACCACUGAGAUUCUGGAAUGUAAUUCUGAGAGAGGCUGGGUCCCUGGAGCUGGCUUCCUCCGUAGAAGUCACAUCGUUUCUGCACACGUUCAGCUGUGCAGCCCAAUAGCCCUGUCUUUUCUCUUUCCUCUGGAGAAGUGUCACCUGGAGGUGGGGCAGAGGUUGUCAGGGCGCACCUAUGUAUAUACAGGUCGUGCCCAGGUUACGAAUGUCAGGCUUAUGUACAACCCCUGUAAAAGCCUAUUAUAUGAAAAAUCCCAGGUACAUGCAAUGGCUUGUAAUAACAGAUGGGCGCUACUUUGCGACGCAUGUCAAAACAUUAUUAUUAUUACUGUAUUAUGUUAAAAAUAGUGUAUUUGAAAGUGUUUCUUUAAUGUUUUUUAUGCAUAGAAAGGUACACUGUAUGCUGUGUACUUAAACAUUUGGCUGACGUUAAAUAUGAGCCUACCUAACUGUUCUGACUUACGUACAAAUCCAACUUAAAGACAGAUGUAGGAACGCCACUCAUUUGCAAUCCGGGGACUGCCUCUGUAUCUCUUCCCUGGAGAUCUUGGCAGGUCUGCAGUUUGAAAGUAAUUUUCCUAAACCAAGAGAAUGUCUGUCUGAGUUACCAGAAGUGAAAGAUUUCAUUUAACAAAACCUCCUCUCAUGGGACCGCUAAUUUUGUCAGUUCUCCUGAAUAAUGAGCCAGAAAAGAAAGUCAGAUACCUAUCUUUCCUCUUGCACGCCCUUUAAAAAAUUUUGGAGUGUCUGUGUUGGUUUAAAGUGCCUGACUAAUACAUAGAGGGAAGACUUUUAUUUUUUAUUAACAUGAGGCAAUGGAUUAAAAUUAUUAGAAGAAUGUUUAGGUGCACAAACCCAGUGCUGUUGAGUCAAUUCUAACUCAUAGCAACUCUGUAGGAGAGAGUAGAACUGCCCCAUAGGGUUUCCAAGGCUGUAAAUCUUUAUGGAAGCAGACUGCAGAGUGGCUGGUGGGUUCAAAUUGCCUACCUUUUUGUUAGCAGCUGAGUGCUUAACCACUGCGCCACCAGGCCUCCUUGAUUUAGGAGCACAUGCUAAGAAAACUCCUGAAAGUAAGACAGAAGAGAAUUUGGAAUUGAUUAUAGACAGGCUACGGUGUCUUCUUGCCUGGAGGUCAUUAAAACACAGAUGAGAACUGCUUAUAUUUGGGAAGGCAACUCGGUGAUGGGAAAACAUCUGAACAGAUAUCGGAAGACCUGGUGUAAUGUUGACUCAGUCUCUAGCUGCAUGACCUUGGGCAAGUCUUGUACAUUUUCUGGGCUUCAAGUUCAUCCUCGUCUUCGAUCGUUGAUUUUUAGGCUGUGUCCUAGUGUUUUUCAUUUUUGGAAAUGAACUGUUCUGCCAUUAAAAUGGAAUAACCAUAGUCUUUUCCUAAUUUGCAAAAAAAUUAAAAAAAUGUGAAUUGACAGGAUUUUCUUCAUUCUGAGCUUUUCUUAUAUAUAAUUUUCUCAAUUUUUUUUGCCACUCCUCGUCUGCUACCAAAUGUUACAUAUGUCCCGGCUGUUUUCAUGGACACGAUGGAUUGUGGUUGUCAUGUUACACUCUGUUCAUAUAUCAUGGUCCUAUUUCUCCUUGUAAAAUCAGCCCUAGUUUUACGAUGAAGCUGCCCCUGUCCACAUUUCAUGGUGUUUUACAGUGUUACCUGGACAGCCUGUGCCUUAUGGGGGCUGCAGGAUUCGGGUGACUCCAGGACUUCUGCUCCGUUCACUGUCUGUGGGGCAGGGUGCUAUGGCACGUGAAAUACCAUCUAACCUGUGAUUUAAAAAGAAGGUUUUUGAUGGAGGGAGUUAUAAAAGCAGAGGGUUUAGAUCCGGAAGCAGCAUUGGAGAUCACCUUAUUCAGCUCUCGUUUAAUCAACCAGUUACCCUCGAGUCGACUCCAACUUAUGACGACCCCAUGUGUGUCGGGGUAGAACUGGGCUCUAUAGGGUUUUCAGUGGCUGAUUUAUCAGAAGUAGGUCACUAGCCUUUCUUCUGAGGCAUCUCUGGGUGGACUUGAACCUCUAACUUUCAGUUGGCGGCUGAGUGCGUUAACCAUCUGCACCACCAGUGGACUCCUUUUUUAAUCAAGAUUCAGGGUUACCCAGCCAAGGUUACGUGGCUGACGAGAGGCUCAGGUGGGCAGAGAGCAGAUCUGCAGACUCCAGGCUGGAGUACUCUCCUCUCCUGAAUCCUGAGUUCCCGUUGCCCGUUUGUCUUCAGAGAUGACUUAGUUUUUCCUACUUUCCUGGUGUGCAGGAAGGAGCAGCAUGGCCUGCCUGUUACCUUGGGAAACUUCCUGCUUAUCUCAUGUCAUGGAAACGCGCCUAGCUUGCUUUGUGGAAGUAGUCCAGUGGCAAACAUAUAAAAAGCAGCCUAGACUUGUAAAUUAUCAGCAGAGAUGGCCUUGCAGUGUAUCUUGGACAAGAUUAAUUAAGGGUGUAGACCGAGGUGCUGGUGAUAGCGGACUUCGCAGACAGAGGAACAGGGUAGAAGGAAUGAACCUUGAAAGAGGCCCCCGGGGACCUUGGCCCCUAUAGCACCAAAUUUCAGCCAGCCACAGGCAUCGGCCAACCUCUUAAGGGUAGGAACAUUGUUGGUUUGUGGGGGCGGGGGGGGCAUCACUUCUACAAAGCCAGGGAUGAAAGGCUCAACACAGCUUAGGGAAGUUGUGGUCUCAGGCAAGACUUAAACAAAACUGUUACUAUAGUCCUUGAAUACUUGGAUUCUUGCUGUAGGAGAAAACUGGAAGAAAUUCCAAUCAACUUUUUGUCGAAAAGAAUUGUGAAAAUACUAAUGAAGAGAAUAAAUUCUUACUUUAGUGUACCCUUUGGAGUAAACUACCCCAUUGGGGCUUUAUCCUGUUAAGUUUGUCUUUAUUAUCUGUAUUUUCAAAGCAUUUUUAUUAGUGUGUUGAACCAACCACUUAGUUGAACAGAAGAUAAAUAUUUUUAACUGUAGUGUGUUUCUGAGAUGAAGCAUACUGUGUAAUUGAGGUUUUUUUUUUUUUUUUUUGCUUCUGCACAUUAUCUAAGGAUAUGUAUUUCUUAAUUGGACCUCAGAGAAAUCCAUAUUUUUAUUAUUAGAUUUCAAGUGAACAAAUAUCUUAAUAAAGGGCAUUUGAAUGCACACCUGUGUAACUCUUUAAACGUUGUGGGCCAGUUUUACAAACGUUUAAGAGUGUGGCCUCUAGACUUACUUGUGUCAGAAUUACCUGGAUGGCUAUUGAAAAGGGAGGUUACUAAAUCGGCAUUUCCAGGGAUGAAAUUGGGGAACCGCGGUUUUUAGUGGAUUCCCGGGCAUGGGAUUUACUCUCCUCACGUGUCAGGAUUCCCCACAGGGUGUGAGAUUCUGACGGCCUGCCCUUCUGAAGCCUCCGACAAAGGCUCCUUCUCCCCUGUCCCCCCUCAGUCCUUGGACAUGGUUUGUGCUCCUGUGUGCCUGGAAGCAUGCUAGGUUUGAAGACCACAGAGAUGAGCCAGAUACUCUUCCUCCUCUUAAGGUUCAUAGCCCAGUGGAGGAGCCCCCCUCCAAAGAGAGAGGAGAAAUCCCGGACUUCAGAACAAGAGAAAGGCAUCUAAUUCAUCCCAAGAUGGAGCUAUGGGUAGGUAGGACAAACAUUACAGGGAAGGGGCGAUUUGGGCUGAGUUGAGGGAGGGAGGGAUUAUUCAAAACAUGUUUCUUUUCAUAAUUAAAGCUAUUCGUGUUUAAUGGGAAACGUGGAAAGUAUAAAGAAUAAAAUUAAGAUACCAUUAAUCCCACUGUCCAAGAUAGCCAUUAACCUUACAAUAUCUUCGUUUUGCAUUUUUCUAUAUGUAUGUGUGGGUAGGUGGGUGUAUGUGUAUUUAUUUGUACAAUUGGGAUUAUUCUGUACACUUUUUUUGUUAUGAAAUAGUUUAAACAUGCAUAAACUAAAACCAGACCCACUGCCAUCGGAUCGAUUCCAACUCCUAGCGACCCUAUAGGACAGGGUAGGACUGCCCCAUAGGGUUUCUAUAAAUCUUUACAGAAACAGAUUGCCACAUCUUUCUCCCUUGGAGUGGCUGGUGGGUUUGAACAGCUGACGUUUUGUUCCGCAGCUGAGUGCUUUAACCACUGUGUCGCCAGGGCUCCCUUAAACAUGCAUAGGACAGAGACGAUGACAAAUACCCUACUGCCUACUAGUCAGCUUUAAUAACUCUCGUCACUUGGCCGUCUUUGUUUCAGAUACGUGUGUUAGAGUUGAAACCUCUAUUCCGUUUCUUCCUGACCCUGUUCCCUUCCUUCCUGUUUCCCCCAGAGGCAACCACUGCUGUAAAGUUGGUAAAUAUCCUCCCUGGGAAUGUUUUAUACCGUGCCAUGACUACAGAUUUUUUAGUGUGUUUAAAAAAUCAUGUAAAUGAUAAACCAUAGCCGUCCUUCUGCAACUUGCUUUUUCAUUCAGCAUGUUCUCAAGAUUUAUUUGUAUUGUUAUACAUAUAUUUAAUUUAUUUUGGGAGCUGGAAAAUAUUCUGCUGUUUGAGUAUACCUUAAUGCGUUCACCCACCCCCCAGUAGUGGACAUUUAGGUUGUUGCUGGCCUUUUUUGUCACUAAGCCUGCUGCUGUGAAUGUGUGCCCAUAAGUCUCCUCACACAAGGGGCUCAUGGGCUCGUUGGGAAUUUCCUGGCUCCUUCCUUGGUAUUAUCAGAUGUCUGAGUUUUGCCAAUCUGAUGGCUGUAAACUUUCACCUCUCUUGUACCUCUUGUUUUGCAUUUCCCAGGUUCAGUUUUGUAUCCUGCUUUUUUGCUUAGUGUAAUGAGAAAUUUUUUCGUGCCGUUGAGGUUGCCUUUGUCUUGUUUCGUUAGCUUCACUGCCAUUUGAAGUGGCAUCGUUGGGACGCAGUGUGUCUUUUCAGGCCUCUUAUCUGAAGUGUUCUGGCCAUUGUUGGCUUUAUUGAAUCCUGUUUUUGAGGAUUCAGUUAAGACCCAGUCUUGCAACUUGACCAUGUUGUGGCCCAAAUUGAAGAGUGUAAUUACGGACUUAGCUAAUGAUAAACCUUGGAUGAUAAGAUUAGGAACCUUCUCCUGCUGUUUCAGUACUGUGCAGUGCAGUACAGGGAUGUGGCCUGGUAACGUGAAGUUCCUCAUAUUUUCCCUAUUAUGACUUUCCUUUGGUGAGCUACUUCCUAUCUGAUCUUUGGUAGAAGCUCUUAUAACCUAUUCAUCAUUGAGUGUUUCUUAUUUUAUUAGCUUAUUUUACCUGCUGUUCUAGGGUUUUUAUUUUUAAGAUUGAAUUUCUUUUUCUGUCUUCCCCACUUAGUAAGAACUGGACUGGGAUCGGGUCUGUAAUGCCACCGCCUAGCACAGUGCUGGAACACAGCACAGGUUUGAUACCUGGUUAGUGACGGAUGGCGAGACAUUGUACCAACGACACUUCUUUGUUGAUUCAGCCCACAUAUUUACAAACCUCUCCUUCCUUUGUUCCCAUCGUUGCCACACUAGUUCCUGCCCUGUUUCCUAAGCCUGGACUUUAGUGGACUUCCUUGCCAUAGUCUCUUGUGUUUUCAGAUCCGUCCUCCACAGUCCCGCUGGGCUAAUCUUUCUCAGACACUCACUGACCUUCACUGACUCUCCGUGGCCCAUGAGGUUCUCCAUAGUGCCACGCCUACCUGCCUUUCAGUACUUCUCAUCCUGCCUUUUCCAAACUAAGUCUGUGUUCGUCUGUGACAGGUGUUUCACCCUCUCCCCCUCCCCAGGUUUAAAUACGAGUCUGGAGCGUCGAAGGAGGGUCAGGACAAGCAGAGACUUUGUAUUAUUCCCAUGGCACUGGCAGAUGAAGCCGUAGGAUCGGAGGGGCUAGGACUGGGGGAAAAGCAGGACUCUUGUUGGGAGGCAUGUGGAGGAGUGAAAAACAGGAGGGAUGGCUGGAGAGUUAGGACAGGAACCUGGAGGGGCAGCCACAGAAACCAAAGGAGGGAGGCCCUUCCGGAUGGGAAGGAUGAUCAGCAGUGUUGAGUAUAUAUCCGGGUUGAUGAGGACAGUAAGUUCCAUGGCCUUUGAUGAGUUAUUGAUGACAGUUCUAUGUAUGUCCUUUAAAGAUUUCAAUAACGGGCAGAAGUUGAAUUGCUGACAUGCAGAAAUCAUGGCACGACAUUCAUUAGUGAAAUUUCAUUGUGAAAACUUAUUAAUAUUUUUCCCAAAUGUCAGUUGCUUAUGUAUUUUCAAAGGCUCAAAGGAUAGAGCUAGUAUAGAAGGAAAGGUUGAUAAUAAUAAAGGAGCCAGACCCUGGAGGAGAAGGGAAAAGAGGGUCCUCGGGGAUUCUGUUAGCGGGACAGGGAGGGAGGAGGAGACAGACAGGCUGAGGUGGAGGGGAGCCCCCUCAUUCAGAUCGCUUCCAUUUUUCUGUCAGGUGGGAAUUUCUCUUGUCAGCAGUGUACGAGGGCUAGCUUGAAGGGAUCCUACACAGAUGAAUCUUCCAGAAGCCCAUCUUGGGUUGUCGUAUUCCCCACUUCACGAGCCUUGGAGGACUCGUCGGGAGUCUCUGGUAUGAGCCACAGCGCCUUCACUGGUGUGCCAAGGCCACGCAGCCCAGCUCCAGUUACUCGGAGGCCUCUUGCUCACUGUGUGCCCUUGGGGACUCUGCUUCUGCUUGGGUCCUCGUCCCUUGCCUGCCGAGCUGCCUUUGCGCACACAGGCCCGUUUUUCUGCGCACUGCCUUUUCCUGCUCAGCUUUCCUCCUCUGUGUUCCCAUUACAUUUUAGUUAACUGUGUAUCUCCUCCUACAAACGUUUAAACAGAUGUUUUGUUUGUGCUUUUUUUUUUCCAAUGGUAGAUUAUAAACCGAAAGGAUUUUUAAAUCCAGGAAUAAUUUUAAAUAAUAAAAUGUAACAGGGAAACUUGAAUUAGUAUCAGAGGAUAAGCCUGCAUCUGGCAGAGCUGAGUUUGAAUCCUGGCCCUGCUUCUCACUGGUUGUGCUUCGGGUAGUUACAUUUCCUCACUUCAUUCACGUUGUUAAUUAACAUAAUGGAGGCGAUGAAACCUGCCUCUUAGGGACAUUGGGAGAUUAAAUGAGACAGGCGUGCAAAGCGUUUGGUGUGGGCCUGGCACAGGGUGAGCAUUCAGUAAAUCUCAGUACAGUUUUUUUUUUUUUUUUAAAUGACUUAUUAUGUUAGGUGGAAGUUAACACAGCAAAUGAAGUUCCCAUUUAACAAUUUUUAUGCAGUUUGUUUUGCGCCAUUGGUUAUAGUUUUCACAAGGCAUGAGCAGUCUCAUUUCCAUUCUAUUUGCUCUGUUUCCGUUGCUCUAGCUUCCCUGCCUCUCCUUGCCUUCUCAUCUUUGUGUUUCAGUAAAUGUUGACCGUUUGGUCUCAUAUAGUUGAUUAAGGGACACAUUACUCACGGGUGAUAUUGUUCAUUUUAUAAACCACUCUAUUAUUUGGCUAAAAGGUGACUUCUGGGCGUGGCUUCAGUUCCAAGUCAAAAGGGUGUUUUAGGGUGAUAAAAUCAGGGGUUCCUGUAGUCUAUCGGUCCAGUAAGUGUGGCCUUUUUUGGGAAUUUGAAUUAUGUUUUACAUUUUCCUCCCAUUCUAUCUGGGACCUUCCUUUGUGCCCCUGGUCAGAACGGUCGGUAGUGGCAGCGGGGCACCAUCUGGUUCUUUUGGCCUCAGGCUAGAAGAGGAUGUGGUUCAUGUGGGCUGUUAGUCCUGUGGACUGGUUUCCCUUUUGAGUCUGGUUUCUUUCAUUCUCUUUUGCUCCAGCGAGAAGAGACCCAUAGUGUCUUAGGUGGCUGCUCGCAGGCUGUCAAGAACCCAGAUGCUGCUUAUCCAACUGGGAUGUACAACAUCAUCUUUAUGAACUACAUUAGGUCAGUUGACUGAGUUGUGCUGUGGUCCCAACCCUCUUCACCCAGGAAACCAAUCCCUUGAGGUGUUUGAAUACAUCUAGGAGGUUUCUGUAACUGUGCCCCCAUGUGUUUUAUUAUAUAUGGAUAUAUAUGUGAACAUAUAUGCGGCACACACAAACGUGUAUCACGCCUGCACAUGCACGUACAUCCACUCACACAUGCCUCCCUGUACUUACAUAGCUACCUGUGUAACCACACAUAGUUUUUACUUGUUAGUACUGUUCUGCAAAAUUGUGUAUGGUAUAGCAUUUAUGGUAGUUGUCCUUUAUUCUUGCAUACCUCUCAUUGUCUUCAUUUACCUUGGUCAAGUUGUGCUGACUUCUGUUGUAGGGGAAAAACAUCAUAAAGUUUAGUAAAGCAAAAAGAAAGUUUUAUUUGGCAUAUAUUCAAAAAGGCAAAAGUGGGAAGUGGACAAGCAUGCUGCCAGAGGUGAUGUCUGCCCGAGUCCAAGGAAAUAUUACAGAUUAGACAAAAGUGGGAAAACAGACAAGCACGCUGCUAGAGCCGUGUCUGCCCGAGCCCAAGGAAAUAUUACAGAUUAGACAAAAGUGGGAAAACAGACAAGCACGCUGCUAGAGCCAUGUCUGCCCGAGUCCAAGGAAAUAUUACAGAGUAGGCAAGAAUGGGGAAGCCGUGUCUGCCGGAGUCCAAGGGUUGUUAUGGAGUCAUCAGUGCAUAUUAAUGAUACAAAUGGGCAAAACCAUUGAAAGCUUCACCUUUUCACAGAUUGGCUAGCAAUUGUGGUCGUACUUUGUCUUUCUUAACAAUCAUUGGUACAGGUUUCAGUAACAACAGCCAGGAGGAUCCUCAUUGGUCCAACAAAUUUUCUGUUCGCUACAUGCUAAUAGAAAAAGAUGAGAGUGGAAAGUCUUUUGUGUUCUGUUUGAUUGCCUUAUGUGAAAGAUACCCUAAAAGAUAUUUUACAAAAUGAUCCUAGCUAUUGUCUUUGUACCUCAGGGCCCAGUUGAUGUGUCCUUGCGAGUCCUUGUGAGCCCAGCUUUAGCUGGGUCACAUUCUCUAUGCUCAAAGACAGGGAAUAAUGACUCCAGUAUUAUUUCCUAAAUCACUUCUUCCAUAUUGUGUAUUACCUUUCCUCACUACAGAUAUUACCAUAUUUUAACACCUUCUACAAUUUGUUUGCCAGCUGCGUCCCCCUCACCUUCCCCAGGUAUUUUGUUCACAGCAGCACUUACAAAAAAUAUGGGGGGCAGGCAUGGCUGGCAAACAAAUGCAGAAGGUGCAGGUUAUUUGCAUAAAAAUACAAUAAUAAUGAAUUCCUUGCUUCUCAGUGAUGUUUGGUUGAACACCUGGAUGAACAGUGAGACGUAGACCAAAAGGUAGUACAAACAAACAAAAAAAACCCCUACAGGACAGAGUAGAACUGCCCCAUAGAGUUUCCAAGGAGCGCCUGGUGGAGUCGAACUGCCGACUUUUUGGUUAGCAGACAUAGCUCUUAACCACACCACCACCAGGGUUUCUAUGAAAAGCAGAGGAGAGUAGUGCUUCCGUCUACCCCCCACUUAAAUUGAGGGCCGCUAAGGUGUUUUCUGUAAACCCUGGUGGCGUAGUGGUUAAGUGCUAUGCCUGCUAACCAAAAGGUCUGCAGUUCGAAUCUAUCAGGCGCUCCUUGGAAACUCUAUGAGGCAGUUCUACUCUGUCCUAUAGGGUCGCCAUGAGUCAGAAUCGAUGCAACGGGUUUCGGGUUUAAGGUGUUUUCUUCUCUGUAUUUCCCUCCCCAGUGUCUAACUAAUACAGGCCUCUGUAUAUAGUGAAGAGGGAGUGACUGCCUCUUUAUGACUAUGUUAAUUUGUUUUCUAAAGUACCCUAUGCAAACAGGGUUUCAUUUCUCCCCAGUGAUUGCAUAGAAGCAAGUACUUACUCUAGGAUUCAGGGAGAGUCGUGUGCAUGUGGUUGUGUUGUGGGGGGAGAAAACAUCACAAAGUUUAGUAAAGCAAAAAGAAAGUUUUAUCCGGCAUGUAUUCAAAAAGACAAAAGUGGAAAGUGGACAAGCAUGCCGCCAGAGCUAAUGUCUGUUUGAACCCGGGGGAGGUUACAGAAUCAUCAGUAUAUAUUAACAUCACAAAAAUGGGUGAAAGCUUUUCACAGAUUGGCGAGAAACUCUGGUCUUGUAUUUCAAAUUGCCUUUCUUAACAAUCAUUUGUAUAGGUUUCAGUAGCCCAACAGUCAGGAGGGUCUUCCUUGGUCCAACAAAUUUCUGUUCACUAAAUGUUAAUAGAAAAAGAUAGGAAUGAAAAAGUCUUUUGUGUCCUGUUUGAUUGGCUUUAUGUGAAAAGUUCCCUAAAAAUUUUUACUUCCCUAAAAGAUAAUUUCUGAGAUGUUUAUCUCAGGGCCCAGUUGAUGUGUCCUUGUGAGUCUUUGUGGGCCCAGCUUCAGCUGGGUCACAUUUUCUUUGCUCAAGCACAGGCAAUAAUAAUUCCAAUAUUAUUUUCUAAAUCAGUUGAUGGUGUCACUUUGUAUAGCUUUUUAAAACUGACUACUGGUUGUAAUAGCACAUAGUUAGAUGUUCAUAGAAUUUAUCCAGAAGGCACAGGUUACAGAAUUAAAGUUUCUCCAGUUAAAGCCCCUCUGCUUUGUUUUUGCCUAUAAGUCUCUAGGCCUUUUGAAUGAUUUUUUUUUUUUCCUGGCCGUUUCGUUUUCAAAACAAAUGCGGAGGCCUAGACGUUUUCAUAGGACAGCUGUGUGAAGUAUAUACAGCAUAUAGCUUAUGAAGCCCGAGACGGAGUAUUACCAUAGGGAAAACCUUUUUCUUACUAAUUUUUAAUGCAUUUGACACUGUUUCUGGGUAGCUCAUCCCUCCGGUUUCUCAGUAGGAACACACAUGUCUCCUGACAGAGAAACAGGAAAAGGAGCGUGCUGUGUGAGAACUCCACAAACCGGUGUAAAUCUUUUAACAGAUUGCCCUGUUGCUCUCUAUAGCCAGUCACGUGGGGCUUUACCUCUCAUCCAUCUCUGUGGUAGUGAAUGCACAUUGAUCCUUAGUGCUAUAAAUGUGUCCUGUGUGUUCCACAGUAGUGACAGAUGACACUUUGCAGCCAAGAGAUGGGCUUGAAAUGUUUUCCAGUUGUGGUGGGGUGGCUGUUGCAUAAUUGAGCCAGUUGAAGAUAUUCCAUUGAAUGGCGAUGCAACUUUGAUCUUUGUAAACUUUUUCUUGGUUUGUUAGGUAUGCAUUCUGGAACAAUUUAUAGUAUUCAAACAACAACAACAACAACACCUAAAAAAAUCAAACCAGUUGCUGUUGCAUCACGUGCUACUCAUGGUGGUCUCACGUGUAUCAGAGUAGAACUGUGUCCUGUAGAGUUUUCAAUGGCUGAUAUUUUGGAAGUAGAUUGCCAGGCCUUUCUUCUGAGGUGCCUCUGGGUGGACUUGAACCUUCAACCUUUUGGUUAGCACAUGAGUGCAUUAAUGUUUGCACCACCCAGGGAAUCCCAUAAAACCAAACCAAACCCAGUGCCGUUGAGUUGAUUCGACUCAUAGCGACCCUAGAGGACAGAGUAGAACUGCCCCAUAGAGUUUCCAAGGAGCACCUGGUGGAUUCGAACUGCCGACCCUUUGUUUAGCAGCCGUAGUAGCACUUAACCACUAUGCCGUGAGGGUUUCUGGGAAUCCCAUAGUAUAUUUAAAAAAAAAAAAAAUUUGCCAUCGAGUUGAUUCAGACUCAGAGCAAACCCUGUAGAACAGAGUAGAUUGCCCCACAGGGUUUCCAAGGCGUAAAUCUUUGCAGAAGCAGACUGCCACAGCUUUCUCCCAUGGAGUGGCUGGUGGCUUCAUACUUCUGACUUUCUGGUUAGCAGCUGAGUGCUUAAAAGUACUGUACUUGAUAGUAUACUAGUGGUCUCUGAGAAAUAAGUAAAUAUGCCAAAGAUAGUGCUGAAGAAAUGUUUUAAAAAAAAAUUGCCUAUGGAAGAAAUUUUGGAUUGUUCUGACAAGGAUGCAAUGGAGACAAAAACAUCUUGGCAGCACCUGUUGCUAAAUGGUGCUAAGCAGGGACACUGAUGCUUGUCACGUGACAGGAAAAAAGGGGUUGAGUAAAGGAUUCCCAUUGUAGGAAAGCAGUGACGUGGAAAAGCUCAUGGGGUCGGGGGGAGUGUGGUAGCUCAGUGCCUCUCUUUUAUGAGAUGUGAGGGUGAGAGAGGGCGGGAAUCUUAGAACAAUAAGUUCUUAAAAAAUGUAUUUAAACUGUUAGUUUAAAUCACUUUCUUUUGCUGUGGCAACAGAUUACCACAAAUUCUGUGGUUUAAAUCAACACAGAUGUAUUAUUUUGCAGUUUCGUAGGUCGGGUGUCUGACAGGAGCCUCAGUGUGCUCAAACCCGAGUGUCAGCAGGUCUGCGUUCCUCUCUGGAGGCUCUGGGGACGUCUGUUCCUCGCCUCUCCCGGUGUCUGGCGGCUGCUGCGUUCCUUGGCUCAUGGCCCCUUCCUCCGCCUUCACAGGCAGAGUCCUUUGCACGUGUGUCACUUCUGCCUCCUCUUCUGCCUCCCUCUUCCACUUCUGAGGACUUUGGUGAUUACAUGGGCCCACUUGAAUAUCCAGGAUGAUCUCCCUGUUUUAAAGUCAGCUGAUUCCUAAACCAAACCCGCUGCCAUCAAGUUGAUUCCAACUCGUAGCGACAGAGUAGGACUGCCCCAUAGAGUUUCCAAGGCUGUAAAUCUUCACAGAAGCAGACUGCCGUAUUUUUCUCUCUUGGAGCAGCUGGUGGGUUUGAACUGCCAACAUUUUGGUUAGCAGCCGGGCACUUAACCACUGUGCCCCCAGGGCUUCAUCAUACCAACCCUAUAGGACAGAGUAGAACUGCCUCAUAGGGUUUUCAAGGCUGUAACCUGUACAAGGAGGAGCCUUGGUGGCGUAGUGGUUAAGAGCUCAGGUGCCAAUCAAAAGGUCAGCAGUUCAGAUCCACCAGGUGCUCCUUGGAAAGCCUGUGGGGCAGUUCUCCUCUGUCCUGACAACAGCAACAAUCUGUGCAGAAGCAGACUGCCACAUCUUCUGUGGUGUGGCUGGUGGGUUCAAACCUCUGACCUUUUGGUCAGCAGCCAAGCACUUAACCACAGUACCACCAGAAACCGUAAUUCCGUCUGUAACUCUUAAUCAUGUGAAGUGAUUAAUUUACAGGUUCUGGGAUUAAGACGUGGACAUCUUUCGGAGGCAUUAUUCUGUCCGCAAUUUGUGUAUACUUUUUUCCAUUUAAAAUCUGUAUAUAGAAAAAACUCCUUUUGGGGAGCUUUGGUGGCGCAUUAGUUGAGUGCUUGGCUGCCAGCUGAAAGGUUGGUGGUUUGGACCCAUCCAGGGGCUCUGCAGGUGAGAGACCUGGCAGCCUGCUUCCGUAAAGAUUACAGCCAAGAAGACCCCAUGGGGCAGUUCUGCUCUCACGUGGGGUCCUUGUGAGUUGGAAUUCGACUCGCUGGCCCUCAGCAACAACAGCGAUGGUUACAGUAAGAGUGCGUUCUGCGACUGUACUCCUGAGGGUUUCAGUUUUCACUGUUCUGUGCAUGGAGCAGUCUUGUUUGAAUUACGUACGAUAUUGGAAUUCAGGGAAAACUGAUCUCUCCAGCAAACAACCUGAGACGUGGUUUCAGUGUAGUCAGGCCUUAGAUUUUUGUUGCAUCACAGACGCAGUACCUAUUACAAACCCUCGGUUACAGAGGAUCCACCCUUGGAAUUCUGGAACAGCACUUGAAACCUACAAGUAGUUGCGAGGAACUUCGGUGAUGGCGGGAAGACUGACGGGUGUGGAGAGGCUCUUCAUAGGUGCAGAUAGCGUGGUCUCUGUUGGACUGUUGGUGUCUGUGACAAGCAGCCUUUUGUGGAAAGCUACUGGUACUGUACCUCAGCAGCUCUAAGGGGCGGAGCCUUUCUGAAUCUUUUUCUCUGAAUCUGAACUCCGGUAGUACAUUAUGAGCUCACCGAGGAGAGGGACUGUCUUUAUCUGGGUAUUUCCUCAGCCUAGCACAAGGGUUCUCAGACUCUGGUCUCAGGACCCUAUUUACAGUCUUUAAAAUACUACACCCUUCUUGCAUUCCUGGUGAGAGUGUAAAAUGGUGUGGCCACUGUGGGAAAGUGGUGGUUCCUCAAAAAGUUAAACAUAGAAUUACCAUGUGACCCAACAGUUCCAUUCCUCAAGAGAAAUGAAAAUGUGUUCAUACAAAAACUUGUAAACAAACAUUAGCAUCACUAUUCACAAUAACCCCAAAGUGGAAGCAACCCAAAUGCUGAUCAGCUGAUAAACGGAUAAACAAAAUGUGGUAUAUUAUUUAGCCAUAGAAAGGAGUGAAGAGCUGAUACGUGUUUACAAUGUGGAUGAACCUUGAAAACAUUAUUCCCAGUGACAAACAACCACAUGUUAUGUGAUUCCAUUUAUAUGAAGUGUCCAGAAUAGGCAAGUCUGUAGAGACAAAGUAGACUUGUAGCUGCCAGAGGAUGGGGUAGGAGGGAACAGUGAGUGACUUAGAAGAGGACUGGAAGCACUUACUGACGAAGAUCAAAGACCACAGCCUUUGGUAUGGAUUACGCCUCAACAGAAACAAAACAAAAUUCCUCGCAACUGAACCAGUAAGUAACAUCAUGAUAAAUGGAGAAAAUAUUGAAGUUGUCAAGGACUGCAUCUUACUUGGGCCCACAAUCAAGGCCCAUGGAAGCAGUAGUCAAGAAAUCAAACAACAUAUUGCAUCAGGUAAAAAUGUCACCUUGAGUACUAAGGUAUGCCUGACCUGAGCCAUGGUGUUUUCAGUGGCCUCAUAUGCGUGUGAAAGCUGGACAGUGGAUAAGGAAGACCGAAGAAGAAUUGAUGCUUUUGAAUUAUGGUGGUGACAAAGAAUAUUGAAUGUACCUUGGGCUGCCAGAAGAACGAACAAAUCUGUCUUGGAAGAAGUACAGCCAGAAUGCUUCGUAAAAGCGAGGAUGGCAAGGCUUCGUCUCAAAUACUUUGGACAUGUAAUUAGGAGGGCCAGUCCCUGGAGAAGGACAUCAUGUUUAGUAAAGGGCCAUUGAAAGAGAGGAAGACCCUUAACGAGAUGGAUUGACAUAGUGGCUGCAACAGUGAGCUCAGGCAUAAUGAUUAUGAGGAUGGUGCAGGACUGGGCAGUGCUUUGUACUGUGUUGUUCAUGGGGUCGCUGAGUUGAAACCAGUAUGAUGGCACCUAACAUCAGAAGUGUAUCUCAGUAAAAAAAAAAUUCAUUCUUUUGUACAUAGGGUCUCUUUGAGUUGGAAUUGACUUGAUGGCACCUAACAACCAAAAAAAUUAUUGAACACCUAAAGAGCUUUUGCUUAUGUCUACAGAUAUUUAUUAUUUUAGAAAUUAAAGUUAAGAAUUUAAAAAUACUGAUUUAUUUAAAAUUGCAGUAAUACACUUAUUAUAUGUUAACAUAAAUAACAUUUUUAUGAAAAAUGUCUAGGUUAUAGAAGGCAGUUAGAUCUCCUACGUGCUUCUGCAGUCAGUCUUUUGUGAUAUGUUGCUUUGGUUGAAACGUGAAGAAAAUGCAGUCUCACACAGAUGUGGCUGGAAAAGAGAAAAGUAUUUUUUUUUUUUUUUAUAGCCUUUUUAGAUACAUGUGACUAGUCUUUGAUACUGCACCAAAACUUGAUACACGCACAAAAACACCAAACCUGUUUUGGUUGAGUUGAUUCUGGCUCGUAGCUACUUCAUAGGACAGAGUGGAACUACCCCGUAGGGUUUCCAGGGAGCAGCUGGUGGAUUUGAACUGCCGACCCUUGGGUUAGCAGCCCUAACUCAACCACUGUACCACCAGGGCUCCAAAACUGGACAAGUGGUGGUUUAUUAAAGGUUAGCGGCAACGUGAACCCUGAAACCGUAUCAGAACUUCUCUUCCUGUUAAAUUAAAAUUCACUGAUCUAGUUCGUACUUUGAAUCACUUUUGUUAAUAUCAUCACUGAUCUCAUCAGAAAAAGCCUUAAUAUUGGGAAGCUUCUUUGUGGUGUGGUGAUGGAUAUGAGUUUUCUACGUGAAAGCUCAGAUUUUAUCAUUGGCAAUAAAUUCUUGGUGUAACAGGCUCACUUUGUUAAGUUUUGACAAAAUGUCUGACAGAUACCUAGGUCUGAAUAGCCGUAGUUUGUCAAUUGUUCUUUCUGGUAAAAAUGGUGUUCCAUGAAAAAAGUAGCUAGUGCAGCUUACAACUCAAACAUUUGCCCAUGUUCUUGAGUGUUUCCCUUAAGGCCAUCCCUGUAUUUUGCUAUGUGGCACGUCUGCUGCUGAGGAGAAUUUCGUAGGUGGACACCUUAUGGAUAGCACCAGGAUGUUGUCUCAUGUAGUGUCAGAAGAUGAGCCCCUCAAGUGGAAGGCACUCAAAAUACAAUGGAGAGCUGCCUCCUCAAAGUAGAGUCGGCCUUAGUGACAUGGGUGGAGCCAAGCUUCCGGGACCUUCAUUUGCUGAUGUGACACGACUCAAAAUGAGAAGAAACAGCCGACACAGUGGCUGCAACAGCGGGCUCAAGCACAGCAACGAUGAUGGGGAUGGCGCAGGACUGGGCAGUGUCUUGUUCUGUUGUGCACAGGAUCGCUGUGAGUCGGAACCGACUUGACGGCACCUGAUAACACAACAUGCAGCUUAAGUAUUCUAUGCAUAUUUCUCAUUUUGUCAAUAAAAUAUUAAAAAAGCCAAGGGUGGAGUUUUAAUAAAACGAAUAAUUUUUACUACUUCAUCAAGGGCAAUUUUUAUUACUUCAAGGACAUUCUUAAAUGAAACUGGUCUCUUUAUUUUUUUGGUCCCUGUGAUGUAUGGGGUGAAGAAUACUGUAACUAUUAGUGUAGUUUGGUGUCACUACCUUGAUCUGUACUAAGGUGUGGCAGUUUUAUCCAUCACUACUUCUGCACCAAUAGUGCAGAUGUUAGCAGUGAAAAGGCAGAGAUCCUCAGUAUUAUUAGGUAAGUAGUUUCAACUUGUAGACCCCAUGAACAGGUCUUGGACUCCCCAAGUGGUUUAGGGACCAUGGUUUGAGAACUGCUGGACUAACACAUAGUGGAUGUUAAGGACGUGUAUCCAGCUGAUAUCGCUGUUGUUUAUUGUAAGUUUUUAUUUGUAGCUCUGUCUUGUUCGUUCCAGGCUCUCAUCCCUGUACCCCAGUACUGAACAGCGCCCCAAGGGGAGGAGGGUAUCCAUAAAUAAUGGUCAGUGCGUGGACUCCUGUGGGCAGGGGCUGGAAGGAGGGCAUGUUAAAUAGCUACCUGUUGUGCUGGACGCUUAGGUGAAGGGAGCUGCUUUACUAGAUGCAAAGUUAGCUCCUUACAUGGCACCAUCUUGAAAACUUCCCCAUCUAUUGACAUUUUUUUCAAGGGUACCAAUGACUGGAGCAUUUGUAUAUUUAACCUUUGGCUGCUUGCCUACCUCUCAGAGGUUUUCAGGGGUGAUGUUUGAGCAGAUGAAGACAUUGCAGGCAGGCAUAGGAUGUGUGACUUCCAACUGUCAGCUCUUUCCACGAGCGGUGCCCCCAGGUGUCCAUCUGGACAUGCAUGUGGAGUGCGGAAGCCAGUGCAAUAUGUGUAUUGGUAGAUGGCUGUUACAGACACUUAGAGAUACCGCGAGGCAGCUGAGACGGGAAGCUGGGUAGUGUCUGGCCAAAAUCAGCCAGUGCCAAAGCUGGAACCAAGACCCAGGUUCCCGAAGUUCCAUCCUGUUCCAUUUCUGCAUAAAAACCUGAAGUCUCAGUUUUUUUUUUUCUCAGUUUAAAUAGUGAUUUUUUAAAAAUUUGGUGACAGAAUAUUUGUGAGCACUAUCUUAGUCAUCUAGUGCUGCUAUAACAGAAAUACCGCAAGUGGAUGGCUUUAACAAAGUGAAGUUUACUUCUUCACAGUAAAACCAAAAAAAAAAAAAAGAAACCCAAACCCAUUA